GGCUGGUCCGAAGGUAGUGGGUUCACAGAAAUUAUUUACCGUUAGUUAAACUAACCUUUCUAUAUUCCACCCCACUACUAACCUUGACUGGUCUUUU
ensembl:misc_RNA Y_RNA Y RNA